rnacentral:lncRNA from 1 species
AGUUUCCCUCCAUACAGUUUCUGGAGCCAACUCUCUACCAUGAAAAUAUGACCACCAGCCUUCCAGGCUCCCCAGAGCCAAACUGCUUUGCCAGUAAGUUCGAUUUCUGAACUCUGUCUGGGAGUGUAUGGCAAGUCUUUAGCAAUUCAGUGUGCGAUUGGCCGAGUAUGCACAGUGCUUGGUGUGCAUGGCUUCUAGGAAGCAUCAGAGGACACAGGGAGCACCCAGCCGGCAUCUCAGAAACCGAUUGUGUGAGGAAGGACAGGUGAAGGAAGUGAUGAUGUCUGGAGAGAGGAAAGACAAAAUCCUAAGUUUUCCACAUCUGAAAAGCUGGGGUGAUCAUAGCAUGGCAACUACAAUAUAAAAGAAUCUGGCUCAGCACAGGAAGCCUUUAACAUUUAAGAGUACCCUAAAGUUAAGGUGUGGUAGCAAACUUCCUAUCACUGGAUCGAAGUGACCUUUUGGUAGGGCUGUCGAGGAGGCAAUUCAACUAUAAUUUGUGUGGGCUUGAUGUUUUAAAUUGUUCCUUUGAGUUUUGUGUGUGUGUGUGGUGUAUUUUGUGUAUUUUGCCUACGUGUAUGGCUGUAAACCAUACAUAAGCAGUGCCUAAGGAGGCUACUCAGCCCACUGUUUGCCAAUCCUUCUCCAGAACCCAUUCUGCAGACCUACAAGGCAACACAGAAAGUAUUUAACUGUUGGUGUCCAUUUUCAUCAUCUGACUUUUUUCUUCUCUUGAGGUUCUUGGGAAAUAGAACUGCUACUGUGUAGCAGUUCACAUAGACAACAUUGGUAGCUAAGGUGAGGGUGUUGGUAUUUAAUGUGUCUGUCUGUCUUCAGUGUGGGAUCAGGGUAUUCCUAUUGGAUUCAUGGGAAAGACAGAACUGGAUUCAGUUCCAACUCUGAAAAGAACAAAUGGGCUUUCAAGAAAACCUUGUAAGAGGCUUGCUCUGGUCUCUUGUUGUCUUUAAUAUGUUUUUACCCAAGAGUCUAAUUCACAGCCCUGCACCAUGUAUCUGGGCUGCUGAAAUUACUAGCUUUGAUUUGCACUCAACUCUGAUUCUAGCUGAGGAGGGAUAGAAAGACAGCCUGUGACCCCAGAAUCUGGCUGGAAUUCUUUACCAGCAGAAAAAUAAAAAUUUCAGCACAAUUAACAAUUGUUUAAGGCCUUUCUCCCUUCCCAGCUAUAUACAUAAUUUUCUAGGACCAGAAAACCUAUGCACAGGGAAAGGAUAUGUACUAACUAAACUCCUUGUGCAACCCCAGUGGCUUCUGGUGUUACUUUAUCAGAUUAUAAUUCCAUCCAGGGCAUCUCCAGAGCAUUUCUAUAAUUUCAUUAUCAUGAUAGAGACAAGAAAAAAAAAGAAGAAGAAGAAGAAACGGUUUCUUAGCAACCUUUUGAGAUAUAAUUCGU